rnacentral:rRNA from 1 species
CUGCAGCCCGAGUGGUGAUCGAUUUUAUUGAGCCUAAAGCGUCCGUAGCCGGACUAGUAAACCCUUGGGUAAAUUGGGCAGCUUAACUGUCCAAAUUCCGAGGGGACUGCUAGUCUUGGGACCGGGAGAGGUCAGAGGUACUCAAGGGGUAGGGGCUAAAUCCUGUAAUCCUUUGGGGACCACCAGUGGCGAAGGCGUCUGACUAGAACAGAUCCGACGGUAAGGGACGAAACCCUGGGGCGCGAACCGGAUUAGAUACCCGAGUAGUCC